UGCAAGGGAUUCUGGAGAUUCAAGUUUCAUUUAAAAAGCUAUAAUGGAGGGUGAGAAUCAUAGGUCGGAGUUCGAUCACUUGAUGCAAGGGAUUCUGGCAGGAGCACAAUCUCUCUCAGAGGUCGUUUUCUCAAAGGCUUUCAGAGAUGCAAAUGAGCAGCCUAUUUGGUGGCUAAGCAUGCUCAGUUUGGAGACCAAGACAAGAUAUGGCUUGAAGACAAGCAACAGUAAUCUUCUUAAGUCUGAUGUACUGAUGUUUGAAUGAAAGUAUUCAUUAUUGAGUUUGGCUUCAAAAAAAAAAAAAGAAUUUCUAGUGUUCUAAUUCUAAGCAUGGAAAAUCCUUUAGUAAGUCAAUGGACUAUGUAUGUAUCCUGACCUUAAUUUUUAGGAGUGCUUGGCUUGCACUACAGAAUUUUGCCUAACAGUUCCACAGGUUUAGCUCGUAUAAUGAAAUCCUUACGAAAAAGAGAUUGGUCGUGAUUAUACAA